UGAUUUUUUGUUCGAUGUCAACCUA
rnacentral:miRNA from 1 species